UGGGGAAUUUUGGACAAUGGGCGAAAGCCUGAUCCAGCAAUGCCGCGUGUGUGAAGAAGGCCUUCGGGUUGUAAAGCACUUUUGUCCGGAAAGAAAUCCUUGGCUCUAAUACAGUCGGGGGAUGACGGUACCGGAAGAAUAAGCACCGGCUAACUACGUGCCAGCAGCCGCGGUAAUACGUAGGGUGCAAGCGUUAAUCGGAAUUACUGGGCGUAAAGCGUGCGCAGGCGGUUUGCUAAGACCGAUGUGAAAUCCCCGGGCUCAACCUGGGAACUGCAUUGGUGACUGGCAGGCUAGAGUAUGGCAGAGGGGGGUAGAAUUCCACGUGUAGCAGUGAAAUGCGUAGAGAUGUGGAGGAAUACCGAUGGCGAAGGCAGCCCCCUGGGCCAAUACUGACGCUCAUGCACGAAAGCGUGGGGAGCAAACAGGAUUAGAUACCCUGGUAGUCCACGCCCUAAACGAUGUCAACUAGUUGUUGGGGAUUC
rnacentral:rRNA from 1 species